UGAGGAACAUGACUUUCGGCGGGGGAGUAGCCGGCCCCAACGGCCGGGUAAUACCGCGUACGACCUUUUGGGGUACAUCUCCGAUUGGUGAAAGCAGCAAUGCACCGAAAGAGUGCCUCGCGGCCUAUCAGCUAGUUGGUGAGGUAACGGCUCACCAAGGCGACGACGGGUAGCCGGCCUGAGAGGGUGACCGGCCACACUGGGACUGAGACACGGCCCAGACUCCUACGGGAGGCAGC
rnacentral:rRNA from 1 species